rnacentral:rRNA from 1 species
AUUGAACGCUGGCGGCAGACCUAACACAUGCAAGUCGAGCGCGCGGCGGACGGGUGAGUAAUGUAUGGGGACUGCCCGAUAGAGGGGGAUAACUACUGGAAACGGUAGCUAAUACCGCAUACUAUCGGAUAACCCAUAUGGGAUUAGCUAGUAGGUGAGGUAAUGGCUCACCUAGGCGACGAUCCCUAGCUGGUCUGAGAGUAUGAUCAGCCAAACUGGGACUGAGAAACGGCCCAGACGCCGACGGGGGCAGCGGUGGGGAAUAUUGCACAAUGGGCGAAAGCCUGAUGCAGCCAGGCCGCGUGUAUGAAGAAGGCCCUAGGGUUGUAAAGGACUUUCAGUCGGGAGGCGUUACCGACAGAAGAAGCACCGGCUAACUCCGUGCCAGCAGCCGCGGUAUAC